UACAGAGGGUGCGAGCGUUUGUUCGGAAUUAUUGGGCGUAAAGGGCGCGUAGGCGGUGCGGUAAGUCACCUGUGAAAUCUCCUGGCUCAACUGGGAGCUUGCAGGCGAAACUGCCGUGCUGGAGUGUGGGAGAGGUGCGUGGAAUUCCUGGUGUAGCGGUGAAAUGCGUAGAUAUCAGGAGGAACACCUGUGGCGAAAGCGGCGCACUGGACCACAACUGACGCUGAGGCGCGAAAGCGUGGGUAGCAAACAGG
rnacentral:rRNA from 1 species